rnacentral:rRNA from 1 species
GUUGUAUGGUUAAGUGACUAAGCGUACAUGGUGGAUGCCUUGGCAGUCAGAGGCGAUGAAGGACGUACUAACCUGCGAUAAGCCGUGAGCAGUCGGUAAGAGACAUUACGACUCACGGAUUUCCGAAUGGGGAAACCCACUUAGCAUAAGCUAGGUAUCGCUACGUGAAUACAUAGCGUAGCGAGGCGAACCGGGAGAACUGAAACAUCUAAGUACCCCGAGGAAAAGAAAUCAACCGAGAUUCCCUCAGUAGCGGCGAGCGAACGGGGAUUAGCCCUUAAGCAUCUUGGAAGUUAGUGGAACGGUCCUGGAAAGGCCGGCGAUACAGGGUGAUAGCCCCGUACACGAAAACAACCUUGAUGUGAAAUCGAGUAGGGCGGGACACGUGACAUCCUGUCUGAAUAUGGGGGGACCAUCCUCCAAGGCUAAAUACUCCUGACUGACCGAUAGUGAACCAGUACCGUGAGGGAAAGGCGAAAAGAACCCCUGUGAGGGGAGUGAAAUAGAACCUGAAACCGUGUACGUACAAGCAGUGGGAGCCCUUCGGGGUGACUGCGUACCUUUUGUAUAAUGGGUCAGCGACUUACAUUUUGUAGCGAGGUUAACCGUAUAGGGGAGCCGUAGGGAAACCGAGUCUUAACUGGGCGUCUAGUUGCAAGGUGUAGACCCGAAACCGGGUGAUCUAGCCAUGGGCAGGUUGAAGGUUGAGUAACAUCAACUGGAGGACCGAACCCACUAACGUUGCAAAGUUAGGGGAUGACCUGUGGCUGGGGGUGAAAGGCCAAUCAAACUCGGAGAUAGCUGGUUCUCCCCGAAAGCUAUUUAGGUAGCGCCUCGGACGAAUACUACUGGGGGUAGAGCACUGUUUGGGCUAGGGGGUCAUCCCGACUUACCAACCCCAUGCAAACUCCGAAUACCAGUAAGUAAUAUCCGGGAGACACACGGCGGGUGCUAACGUCCGUCGUGAAGAGGGAAACAACCCAGACCGCCGGCUAAGGUCCCAAAGUUCUGGUUAAGUGGGAAACGAUGUGGGAAGGCUCAGACAGCUAGGAUGUUGGCUUAGAAGCAGCCAUCAUUUAAAGAAAGCGUAAUAGCUCACUAGUCGAGUCGGCCUGCGCGGAAGAUGUAACGGGGCUCAAACCAGGCACCGAAGCCGCGGAUUCACACUAAGUGUGAGUGGUAGGGGAGCGUUCUGUAAGUCUGCGAAGGUGUGUCGAGAGGCAUGCUGGAGAUAUCAGAAGUGCGAAUGCUGACGUAAGUAACGAUAAAGGGGGUGAAAAGCCUCCUCGCCGGAAGACCAAGGGUUCCUGUCCAACGUUAAUCGGGGCAGGGUGAGUCGACCCCUAAGGCGAGGCCGAAAGGCGUAGUCGAUGGGAAGCAGGUUAAUAUUCCUGCACGACUUGUAAUUGCGAUGGGGGACGGAGAAGGCUAGGUGGGCCAGGCGACGGUUGUCCUGGUGAAAGUGCGUAGGUGGUGUUUCUAGGCAAAUCCGGAGACACAACACUGAGAUACGAGACGAACACACUACGGUGUGGAAGCCAUUGAUGCCCUGCUUCCAGGAAAAGCCUCUAAGCUUCAGAUUACAAGUCAUCGUACCCCAAACCGACACAGGUGGUCGGGUAGAGAAUACCAAGGCGCUUGAGAGAACUCGGGUGAAGGAACUAGGCAAAAUAGAACCGUAACUUCGGGAGAAGGUUCGCUCUUGACAGUGAAGUCCCUUGCGGAUGGAGCAGUUGGGAGUCGCAGUGACCAGAUGGCUGGGACUGUUUAUCAAAAACACAGCACUCUGCAAACACGAAAGUGGACGUAUAGGGUGUGACACCUGCCCGGUGCCGGAAGGUUAAUUGAUGGGGUUAGCGCAAGCGAAGCUCUUGAUCGAAGCCCCGGUAAACGGCGGCCGUAACUAUAACGGUCCUAAGGUAGCGAAAUUCCUUGUCGGGUAAGUUCCGACCUGCACGAAUGGUGUAACCAUGGCCAUGCUGUCUCCACCCGAGACUCAGUGAAAUCGAAUUCGCCGUGAAGAUGCGGUGUACCCGCGGCUAGACGGAAAGACCCCGUGAACCUUUACUACAGCUUGGCACUGAACAUUGAACCUACAUGUGUAGGAUAGGUGGGAGGCUUUGAAGGCGUGACGCCAGUUGCGCUGGAGCCGUCCUUGAAAUACCACCCUUGUAUGUUUGAUGUUCUAACGCAGGCCCGUGAAUCCGGGUCGCGGACAGUGCCUGGUGGGUAGUUUGACUGGGGCGGUCUCCUCCCAAAGAGUAACGGAGGAGCACGAAGGUUGGCUAAUCCUGGUCGGACAUCAGGAGGUUAGUGCAAUGGCAUAAGCCAGCUUAACUGCGAGACGGACAGGUCGAGCAGGUACGAAAGUAGGUCAUAGUGAUCCGGUGGUUCUGAAUGGAAGGGCCAUCGCUCAACGGAUAAAAGGUACUCCGGGGAUAACAGGCUGAUACCGCCCAAGAGUUCAUAUCGACGGCGGUGUUUGGCACCUCGAUGUCGGCUCAUCACAUCCUGGGGCUGAAGUCGGUCCCAAGGGUAUGGCUGUUCGCCAUUUAAAGUGGUACGCGAGCUGGGUUCAGAACGUCGUGAGACAGUUCGGUCCCUAUCUGCCGUGGGCGUUGGAUGAUUGAAGGGAGUUGCUCCUAGUACGAGAGGACCGGAGUGAACGAACCUCUGGUGUUCGGGUUGUCACGCCAGUGGCACUGCCCGGUAGCUAAGUUCGGAAUCGAUAACCGCUGAAAGCAUCUAAGCGGGAAGCGAGCCCUGAGAUGAGUCAUCCCUGACCCCUUGAGGGUCCUAAAGGGCCGUUGGAGACCACAACGUUGAUAGGUGGGGUGUGUAAGCGCGGCGACGUGUUGAGCUAACCCAUACUAAUUACCCGUGAGGCUUAACCAUACAACACCCAAGAAGUGUU